CCGACGUGGACAUCCAGAGAGUUGCUCUCCUGGCUCUGUCCUGGUGGCGUAUGGGAGCGUAGCUCUGAGCCGAGACGUACAGUCCCGUUCCACAAUGUCGGACAGAAAGCUCUGUCCCUGGCUGCCGGCCAGUGAGGACGAGCGUCCUGCAUAUUCCUACAUCUUCCCAGAGUCCUUUGGGGCCGUUACUGGGGAGCUAAACCAUGCAGUGCACAGAC
ensembl:snoRNA SNORA73 Small nucleolar RNA SNORA73 family